UCGUGGGAUGACUUGUCUGCUUAAUUGCGAUAACGAACGAGACCUUAACCUGCUAAAUAGCCCGUAUUGCUUUGGCAGUACGCUGGCUUCUUAGAGGGACUAUCGGCUCAAGCCGAUGGAAGUUUGAGGCAAUAACA
rnacentral:rRNA from 1 species